GUUUCCGUAGUGUAGUUGUUAUCACGUUCGCCUCACACGCGAUAGGUCCCCAGUUCGAAACUGGGCGGGAACA